rnacentral:sRNA from 1 species
UUUAUAAUAAAAAUAAUCCGUAUUUCUUUUAAUAUUAUAUUUUCGUAAUUUGAUUUUCGGUUAAAAACGUCGGUUCUGCCGUUUUUCGUUAUUUUCCGGUUAAUAAUCCUAAAAUGGAAUUUUAAUAGGAAUUUCAAUUAUUUAAUUUAUCGUUUAUUUAAUAUUUUAUUAAUGAUUAAAUUGGUUAAAUUUUUGUAAUCCGUAUAAAUUAAUAUUUUAUAUCUAAUUUCGACUAAUUAUAAUUUCCAUUUUUAAAAUAUUCGAAUAAUAGCCAUUAAUUUUUUAUUAUAAAUUUUGUAAUUAAAUUUUAAUUUAUAUAAUUUUUAUAAAAAAACGCAAAAAUCCAUUUGUUUUUUUUUGUUUCGGUAAUUAAAUUAUUUUCCAAUUAUAUCAUUUAAUACGUCGGUUUUAAUUUCGAAAUUGUUUUUGGAUUUGGUAUUUUAAAAAUGGGUUUUUUGGUUAUUGCAUCCCGUAAUUAUUUAAAAAUCUAUUAUAUUUAUUCCGUCCAUUAAAAUUUUAGGUUUUUUUUAUUUAUAUUAGUUAAUAAAAUGGCGAUCGCGCCGUAUUUUUCAAUUAAUUCUUUAUAAAAAUCUACAAAUCCGAAAAAUAUUCGAACGUUUUUUAUAUUUUGCGGUUGGGGUUAUUUUUUUAUUAUUUGGAUUUUUGAUUUCUCCAUUUUAACUUUUCCAAAAACAAUAA